rnacentral:lncRNA from 1 species
UGGAGGAGGUGAAUUUCCGUCUCUAAAUUUUAACCCAAGUAUUGCUAUUGGGAGUGUCAGGUGUUAAGCUUUGUAUUGAGUUCUCAAUAUAGCUACAGGUUAUAUCAGGUUUGGUUUAUCUGAGAUUGAAUGAAUUCAGCUGGAGUUUUGUUUUUUUACUUUGUUUAGCUGUAAAAGCAAAUUGUUAAUGACUGGAUGGAAAUGCUUAAUAUUUUAUGUAAUCUUAAUUGUACAGUAUACACACAGUUUCAGUGUAGCUAGUAGCAACAAGUAUUUAUUUUGUGUAGAAUGGGGUAUUUAUACUAAUGGAGUACAGUUCUGGUGUUCUGGAAGGGGCCUUGAGAUGUGGUCUUGCAGAAUGCGGUAUUGGGGAGUACUUAAGAUAUUAACAGAGAGCACAGGCUGGCAGUGGAAAGCCAUGGAUUGCAAACUGCUCUUGAAGCAGUACAGUCUUGGCUCUGGACAAAAUCAGUUUGGAAGAGAGCAAACAUAUAUAACAUGAAAUAUACCAUGCUCAGCAAAAUUACAUCUUUGUGUAUGUGCAGACAGAUGAGAAAAGAGCAAUGUGUUAUGACUGCGUGAGCAAACUUAGAAGUGAUUCCAGGUGGAUGGUAGAUUGAAGAAGCCUUCAUCAUCAUAUAUGGGAUGCUGCUGACUUGCUGUAUACCAUUGGCCAAAACCAUCUGUCAGCCCUAAGAUCUAAAGAAGUAGUUGAGGAAAUGUAUGGUCAGGAAGAAGAGUGAGACAAUGGAAAGUACUUAUAUCUAAAACAUCCAUGCUGUGCUGAAAGUUGGACUUGCUGUGGAAGAUAAUGACUGCUAUUUCACUGGAUGUAAGCUGAUUUGAAGAAUUGUUUCUUUAUUAGUUGUUUGGGAACUAAUGCUAAUGAGAGUCUCAGUUGCUGUCAUUUUCUCUUAGGGGGUAAAACAUUUUGUACUGUGUGAUUUAUUUUGAGAAUGGUGUAAUGAAUAACAGUACCUAAAAUGUUUUAUUUUAAACAAAAAAGAGAAUUAUUUUUUUAACAAGUGUUCUCUAAUACAGGGAUGUUUGCCAGAGGGAAGACCUUUAGAAUCA